rnacentral:rRNA from 1 species
GACGAAGGAUGCAAGCGUUAUCCGGAUUUAUUGGGUUUAAAGGGAGCGUAGGCGGACUUAUAAGUCAGUGGUGAAAUCUUCGAGCUUAACUCGGAAACUGCCAUUGAUACUGUAGGUCUAGAGUACAGUUGCCGUUGGCGGAAUAUGACAUGUAGUGGUGAAAUACUUAGAUAUGUCAUAGAACACCGAUUGCGAAGGCAGCUAACGAAGCUGUAACUGACGCUGAGGCUCGAAAGUGCGGGGAUCAAACAGG